rnacentral:lncRNA from 1 species
CUUCCCCAGGCUUGGUACCUUAGGCUAUCAAGAGAGGUAUACUAUAGCACCUGAUAUCAUCUUGCAGUAGGAAGGGGGAAGUCCCGGAGAGACUUCUAUCUUCUAACACUUUAUCAGUUUGUCGUGAAGAUAAGAAUUUCCAGAAAACCCACAUUCAGAGGACUUCUACCAAUUGGCCAGAAUGCCAUGAGGGCACCACUAUCAACAAGAAAGGUGUCGAUCGGGCUCGGCUGAUAGGCUGAAAGGAGAUGAUUACCUCAGCACUGAGCUGCCCCAAGCUUAUCAGCAAGGGAGAGCAAAGGGUGGACAGACUGACGGACAGGCGGACGUGUAAGCUCAGAGGCAGUACUUCGUACUCAGUUGCCGUGUUCUCUGUCGAUUGAAAGCUUAGGGUGUUUUGGUGUCUGUGGUCCCUGCUGCCACCCGCUGCUACAGGAAAGGAAACCUGUUCUGCAGUGAUGCUGAUGGCUGCGGACUCGUGACUGAGAAUGAGGGACAUUGAAGGCUUCUGUGAUAACCUCCUCGCCUCACCCUAGCCCCGCCCCCCCCCAAAAAAAAGAAAAAGAAAAAAAAAAAGAAACGGUACAGACAGAAAGCUAUUGAGCAGUCCUUACAAACUGGAAUAACGAUGCUAAGAGAAUAGCUCUUCAGAGCUGAUGGUUCUGGGCGGGGCGUGUUUACAGACCACGUGACCCAGUUUCUUUAAAGUGCUGGCUAUUGGAGUUUGAUCAUGCGCCAAAAAAUAAUCACUAGGUACAGCAGUGUGUGCUUGCUGUUUCCAGAAACCAUCUAGAAUUGAGCAUCAAGCUUAGGACUCCGAAUUACAGAACACCCAUCACUGCACAGAUCUACAUCCGAAUAUACAGAACACCCAUCACUGCACAGAUUUCAUCUAAAAAGAUAAUCUGAAGAGAUGUGCUGCCUUGCCUACAGUCAUAAAACAGAAUACCACGGGGAAAUAAAAAUAAGAGUUUGCAUUAUAUCCUGACAUUUCUUAGAGGGCUUAAGUAAAGCCACACAGACCAAGAAGAACCUGGGUGAAGAAAGGAUCAGAAGACCCUAGAGGACACGGCAAACCCACCCAGGGGAAUGGCAUAGCUGUGCGUUGUCACUCCGUCUGAGCAUUUCUCAAAGUGUGGGAAGAGCCAUCCAGAGGAGGGGAAAAGCCACAUCAGUGAGAAGCAAGGAGGGUACAGAGUGAUGACUGACACCCAGGUCCUAAGAAAGCAGUUGUUCUCAACCUUCCCAGAGCUGUGACCCCUGAAUACAGUUCCUCAUGUUGUGCUGACCCCCCAGCCACAGAAUUAUUUUCGUUGCUACUUCAUUAACUGACAUUUUGCUACUCUCGAAAAUCAUAAUGCAAAUAUCUGUGUUGUCUUCGGCAACCCGUGACAGGGUCAUUCGACUCGCUAAGGGGUGGAGACCCACAGGUUGAGAACUGUUGUGCUAAAGCGGGUGGCUGGCUCCUCUCUGCUGAGUACUGCAAGCUCCCACUGAAACCUGUGAUUGGUGACUUGGGGUAGAGGUGGCCAGGGUCUGCUUAUCAAAGCUACCUGUUGCAAUACUAGAAGGAAAACUGAAACACAGACCUAGAAUCUAACCAUUCUCGCAAUAAAGAACCCAUGCACGUGUGCGUGCGUACACAGAAGUCGAAGGAAGAACCUGACUUAUAAUGUUUAAAACAUAAUAAGUGUCCUCUGACCACAAGGUUCAUAUAAGCCGCAGGGCAGUAAGCAUAGCGCUGAAGCCGAAAGCUCAGUCUGCGCCCACAGCUCAGGAGAUGAUAUCCCUGCUCCCCUACACUUGGGGAUACGGACUUCAGCGCCUCCACCUAGAGGAUGACUGUGUCCUCUUAGUCUACCUUCUGUUGUUAUAACUAGAUACUGCUGACUGGGAAAUGUAUUUCUCUCAUCCCCAGAGACCGAGAAACCUAAUAUAAAAGCACUGGCGCUUUGUCAGGGCCCGAUUGCUACACUGUCCCAAGAUGAAAGGUGGUAUGGAAGAGAGAGAGAGAGAGAGAAAACGAGGGGGA